CUCUGACUUUUGAGUCUCAUCUUGGAUAACAGGACUCAGCCAAAUAUGAAGAUCCUUGUCUUUGCCUUUAUCAUGGCUCUCAUGGUUGCCAUGAUCGGAGCUGAUUCAUCUGAAGAGGCUUGGUGGAAAGUCCUAUUUGCUGUCUUUCAUGAUGAUUCUUCCUAUUCAAAUGUCCUUUACCCACCUAGCAAAAUUUUGUAGCCCGG